UGGCUCAGUAACACGUGGAGAAUCUAACCUUUGGUGGAGGAUAAUCUCGGGAAACUGAGAAUAAUACUCCAUAAACAUAGGAUGCUGGAAUGCUUCUAUGUUGAAAGGCAACGCCAAAGGAUGACUCUGCGACCUAUCAGGCUGUAGUGAGUGUAAUGGACUCACUAACCUGCAACGGGUACGGGUGUUGGAAGACAUUGCCCAGAGAUGGACUCUGAGACAUGAGUCCAGGUUCUACGGAACGCAGCAGGCGCGAAAACUCCGCAAUGUACGAAAGUACGACGGGGGAAUUCUGAGUGCUUACGCCUUGCGUAGGCUGUUUUCUUGUCUAAAAAACAAGGAGAGUAAGGGCUGGGUAAGACGGGUGCCAUCUCGUGCAAUUCUGCACUUAUUGUGUUCGUUGCACGAAGCACAAGCCGCCGCGGUAAUACCCGCGGCCCGAGUGGUGCUCAUUAUUAUUGAGCCUAAAACGUCCGUAGCCGGUUUAAUAAAUUCUUGGGUAAAUCAUAUCGCUUAACGAUAUGAAUUCUGAGAACACUGCUAAACUCGGGAAUGGGAGAGGCCAGAGGUACUUUCAGGGUAGGGGUAAAAUCCCGUAAUCCCGAGAGGACCACCGGUGGCGAAGGCGUCUGGCUAGAACAUAUUCGACGGUAAGGGACGAAGCCCUGGGGCGCAAACGGGAUUAGAUACCCCGGUAGUCCAGGGUGUAAACGCUGUAGAUUUGGUGUUGGAAAUCCUACGGGGAUUCCCAGUGCCGGAGAGAAGUUGUUAAAUCUACUGCUUGGGGAGUACGGUCGCAAGACUGAAACUUAAAGGAAUUGGCGGGGGAGCACCGCAACGGGUGGAGCGUGCGGUUUA
rnacentral:rRNA from 1 species